rnacentral:lncRNA from 1 species
CUCGUUCAGUCUUGGAGUCGACUCGAACUGUCUCGGAGUCGACUCGGCCCUCAGUAUCCAAAAAACAGUCUUCUGUCUUUUGGGGUCGCGCUGCCUUGGAGUCGACUCGAACUGUCUUGGAGUCGACUCGCCUCUCAGAGACGAAAAUGCCGUCUUCUGUCUUUGGGGUUGCGCUGCCUCGGAGUCGACUCGGAUUUUGCGGGAGUCGACUCGGCUCUCAGUGUCUGAAAUUGGCUUUCUGA